rnacentral:hammerhead_ribozyme from 1 species
AUCCAGUUGAAGAGUCCCAAAUAGGAUGAAGCACCCAUCCUGGAU